rnacentral:rRNA from 1 species
CCUACGGGUGGCAGCAGUGAGGAAUUUUGGUCAAUGGACGAGAGUCUGACCCAGCCACGUAGCGUGAAGGAUGACUGCCCUAUGGGGUGUAAACUUCUUUUAUAAAGGAAUAAAACGAGGCACGUGUGCCUUUUGUCAUGUACUUUAUGAAUAAGGAUCGGCUAACUCCGUGCCAGCAGCCGCGGUAAUACGGAGGAUCCGAGCGUUAUCCGGAUUUAUUGGGUUUAAAGGGAGCGUAGAUGGGUUGUUAAGUCAGUUGUGAAAGUUUGCGGCUCAACCGUAAAAUUGCAAUUGAUACUGGCAGUCUUGAGUACAGUUGAGGUAGGCGGAAUUCGUGGUGUAGCGGUGAAAUGCUUAGAUAUCACGAAGAACCCCGAUUGCGAAGGCAGUUUACUAAACUGUGACUGACAUUGAUGCUCGAAAGUGUGGGUAUCAAACAGGAUUAGAUACCCGAGUAGUC